ACUGCGAAAAAAACGGAAAAAAGUUUUGUUUUUCCUGGCAGGGAUUUUACUUAAAGGGGAAACACUAGGGUUGCUCACCGCGCAGGUGGAUUGGGGAGAAGCCCUGAAAACAUUUCUUAUCGCUCAGCCAGAAUAGAUUCCGUCUUUCUCCACCAGGUAGAAACCUGAAGAGACGGCGGAGGGCAGGCGCGUCAGGUUCCUCCUGGCGUCGCGGAGGAAGCGGGCUCGGGGAGGGGUGACGAGAGCGCCCGGCGGGAGGCCGCUCCUGGGCCCGCGGAGCUGUGCCCGUCCUGGCUCAGUAGAAGGAGCAGCGGAGCCGGAGGCGGCGGGUUCCAUGGUGUAAUGGGGCUUCCGGGGCUUACCUGGUGGCGCAGUGGUUGGGAGUCUGCCUGCCAAUGCAGGGGACACGGGUUCGAGCCCUGGUCUGGGAGGAUCCCACAUGCCGUGCAGCGGCUAGGCCCGUGAGCCACGACUACUGAGCCUGCGCGUCUGGAGCCUGUGCUCCGCAAUGGGAGAGGCCAGCGCACCGCGAUGAAGAGUGGCCGCCGCUCGCCGGAACUGGAGAAAGCCCUCGCACAGAAACGAAGACCCAACACAGCCAAACAUAAUAAAUAAGUAAAUUUAUAAAUGUCACCUCUAGACAUUGAAAAACACAACGUAACAAAUGAACCUGUGUAUGUCUUUUGUGGAACAACCAUAUUGGAUAAGAACUCUCUGAAGAGACCAUAAAACACAAUAUAUACACCCCAGGACCGUGACAAAAUUUUAAAAACUGCUUUCCUCAAUUGUGUUAUUAUUGGCAUUGUUGGUAUUUCUUUAUUCUUUUGUCUAUAUAAUGCGGGAAGAAGCAAAGGAGACUGUAAAAGAUAUUGUAUUUCUAUUACUCCCAGUGUCCUUAAAGACAAAAAUACUGGUAUUAGAGAAAAGAGUUUCAGAUGAAAGACGUUCAAUAAAAAGCCUGUAGUUCUGAAUUUGAA